rnacentral:rRNA from 1 species
AACGAACGCUGGCGGCAUGCCUAACACAUGCAAGUCGAACGAAGCCUUCGGGCUUAGUGGCGCACGGGUGCGUAACGCGUGGGAAUCUGCCCCUUGCUUCGGAAUAACAGUUAGAAAUGACUGCUAAUACCGGAUGAAGUCUUCGGACCAAAGAUUUAUCGGCAAGGGAUGAGCCCGCGUAGGAUUAGGUAGUUGGUGGGGUAAAGGCCUACCAAGCCGACGAUCCUUAGCUGGUCUGAGAGGAUGAUCAGCCACACUGGGACUGAGACACGGCCCAGACUCCUACGGGAGGCAGCAGUGGGGAAUAUUGGAAAAUGGACGAAAGGCUGAUCCAGCAAUGCCGCGUGAGUGAUGAAGGCAUUAGGGUUGUAAAGCUCUUUUACAAGGGAUGAUAAUGACAGUACCUGGAGAAUAAGCACCGGCUAACUCCGUG